rnacentral:rRNA from 1 species
GACGAACGCUGGCGGCGUGCUUAACACAUGCAAGUCGAACGGUAAGGCCCUGCUUGCAGGGUGCUCGAGUGGCGAACGGGUGAGUAACACGUGGGUGAUCUGCCCCUUACUUUGGGAUAAGCCUGGGAAACUGGGUCUAAUACUGGAUAGGACCAUGCUGUAGGUGGUGUGGUGGAAAGAUUAGUUUCGGUAAGGGAUGAGCUCGCGGCCUAUCAGCUUGUUGGUGGGGUAAUGGCCUACCAAGGCGUCGACGGGUAGCCGGCCUGAGAGGGUGGACGGCCACAUUGGGACUGAGAUACGGCCCAGACUCCUACGGGAGGCAGCAGUGGGGAAUAUUGCACAAUGGGCGCAAGCCUGAUGCAGCGACGCCGCGUGGGGGAUGACGGCCUUCGGGUUGUAAACUCCUUUCAGCCAUGACGAAGCCCUUGUGGUGACGGUAGUGGUAGAAGAAGCACCGGCUAACUACGUG